rnacentral:lncRNA from 1 species
GCAGGCCCUGACAGCUCCAACCACUUCAUUGUUAAAUGGCAAUAUCAGAAAAAGAGAAGAGCUGGUGUAUCACAAGGAGAGAUAUUUUGGGUGAUUGGAUUGGCAUCAUGCGUCUUAACACAGUGGAUCUACUUCAUAGCUCUGUAACAUCUCUCAUGACAUUCUGCGUCUUGGAAGAAUACAGCAAAUGCUUAUAUGACUGGGAUUCAAAGAAUUUGGUGUGCUGGCUGAAUCAUCAGUUUCUCCCACAGUGA